rnacentral:rRNA from 1 species
AUUGAACGCUGGCGGCAUGCCUUACACAUGCAAGUCGAACGGCAGUGUGGGAGAAGCUUGCUUUUCCUGCCGGCGAGUGGCGAACGGGUGAGUAAUACAUCGGAACGUGCCCUGUAGUGGGGGAUAACUAGUCGAAAGAUUAGCUAAUACCGCAUACGACCUGAGGGUGAAAGUGGGGGACCGCAAGGCCUCAUGCUAUAGGAGCGGCCGAUGUCUGAUUAGCUAGUUGGUGGGGUAAAGGCCUACCAAGGCGACGAUCAGUAGCUGGUCUGAGAGGACGAUCAGCCACACUGGGACUGAGACACGGCCCAGACUCCUACGGGAGGCAGCAGUGGGGAAUUUUGGACAAUGGGCGAAAGCCUGAUCCAGCAAUGCCGCGUGUGUGAAGAAGGCCUUCGGGUUGUAAAGCACUUUUGUCCGGAAAGAAAUGGCUCUGGUUAAUACCUCGGGGGGAUGACGGUACCUGAAGAAUAGGCACCGGCUAACUACGUGCCAGCCGCCGCCGUAA